rnacentral:lncRNA from 1 species
UCCAUUUCUAUCGUACACUAUGAUAUCGUACACCACGUAAGGCGUCUUCGAAGGAGAUGUGGGUUAAGAGUCAAAGGAAACAUGAUUUUUUCGCAUCUCUAAAUUUUUAUCUCCAACGCAUCUUUAAUGUGACCCUCAUAAGAGACGUGUUUUGGCAAAUCCGCGUCACAAAGAAGACGUGUAUUAAUAAUGUGCGUCUCUAAUGACUAACCAACUCAUAG